AGACGUGUGGCCCUGACUAAGUCACCCAACAAUAGAAAUAAUGGCUGAAAAAGAGUCAGCAUCACCACAGCUCAUGGUUCCAAUUCUUCUCCUGGUUGGAUGGAUUGUAGGCUGUAUCAUAGUGGUUUACAUUGUCUUCUCCUAGAAAAGCAAGAAGACUUCAGGCUGAUAUCACUUAGAAGAACUAAGAAAAAUAAGAACAUGGCUGAUCAUUAAAAAU